rnacentral:rRNA from 1 species
GAUGAACGCUGGCGGCGUGCCUAAUACAUGCAAGUCGAGCGAACAGACGAGGAGCUUGCUCCUCUGACGUUAGCGGCGGACGGGUGAGUAACACGUGGAUAACCUACCUAUAAGACUGGGAUAACUUCGGGAAACCGGAGCUAAUACCGGAUAAUAUAUUGAACCGCAUGGUUCAAUAGUGAAAGACGGCUUUGCUGUCACUUAUAGAUGGAUCCGCGCCGCAUUAGCUAGUUGGUAAGGUAACGGCUUACCAAGGCAACGAUGCGUAGCCGACCUGAGAGGGUGAUCGGCCACACUGGAACUGAGACACGGUCCAGACUCCUACGGGAGGCAGCAGUAGGGAAUCUUCCGCAAUGGUCGAAAGCCUGACGGAGCAACGCCGCGUGAGUGAUGAAGGUCUUCGGAUCGUAAAACUCUGUUAUUAGGGAAGAACAAAUGUGUAAGUAACUAUGCACGUCUUGACGGUACCUAAUCAGAAAGCCACGGCUAACUACGUG